rnacentral:tRNA from 1 species
CUGGGUGUAGCUCAGCUUGGUAGAGUGCGUGCCUUGGAAGCACGAGGCCAGAGGUUCGAAUCCUCUCACCCAGA